rnacentral:rRNA from 1 species
GAUGAACGCUGGCGGCGUGCCUAGUACAUGCAAGUCGAGCGAACAGACGAGGAGCUUGCUCCUCUGACGUUAGCGGCGGACGGGUGAGUAACACGUGGAUAACCUACCUAUAAGACUGGGAUAACUUCGGGAAACCGGAGCUAAUACCGGAUAAUAUAUUGAACCGCAUGGUUCAAUAGUCAAAGACGGUUUUGCUGUCACUUAUAGAUGGAUCCGCGCCGCAUUAGCUAGUUGGUAAGGUAACGGCUUACCAAGGCAACGAUGCGUAGCCGACCUGAGAGGGUGAUCGGCCACACUGGAACUGAGACACGGUCCAGACUCCUACGGGAGGCAGCAGUAGGGAAUCUUCCGCAAUGGGCGAAAGCCUGACGGAGCAACGCCGCGUGAGUGAUGAAGGUCUUCGGAUCGUAAAACUCUGUUAUUAGGGAAGAACAAAUGUGUAAGUAACUAUGCACGUCUUGACGGUACCUAAUCAGAAAGCCACGGCUAACUACGUG